rnacentral:lncRNA from 1 species
UUCGAGUUCAACUAAGGUACAAAACCACUUCGGUAUUCGAUUUCAAAUCAAUAUACAAUCGUUAAAAAUGGCAAAGACAGUCUUUUCAAACGUACGUGGGGCCCCCUCGGGCCUCGGCACCUGAAAAUCAUGUGAGAAGAUAUUAAAAUUCGUUUAUAACCUAACCUCAAUGGACAAUGAUUCUUUCAAUAAGUUGCUAAAACGAAAAUAACCAAAGGCAAAGAUAAACAUUGACCCAAUGAAAACCGCCAGCAAAAUAGGAAACCGACACUCGAGUUUUCUGGCUCUUUUCCCUGCACUGUAGGGAGCCAAAAUAGUUUAUGUUUUGAUGACAAUGAAAGGGAAAUAUUUGAUGAAAGAUAUGUCCACGUGCCCAGAUUAUUCGUAACGAGCUUAAUUGGCCAAUUUAUAUUAAAUUGCUAACUCAUCCUAUUUUAAUUUCGUUUAUUUUAGGGAAAUGUCGUGAAGUUGGCAUGGUUUGAGAGAACGUGAGGCGACGGUGAAUUUCAAACGAGAAAUCAUUGUGUUCGGCAAAUGACCUAGUCGGAAUGUGAUUGGUUCAGAUAAGACACCCGGUGACCUUAACACCCGGUAUAAACUUGCGAUUGUACUUGAAGACGGACAGAUUUAGUUUCGAAUACCGGAUAUGUACACUUUAUAUUUUGCUGUAGUUUUCGUGACCCUGGCGUGGAGUUUAGCAGGCCAUUGGGAACCUAAUGAUUGCCCACAGCAGUGCACAUGUCUUAUGGAAGGCAUUUUAAGAAAAGUCUACUGCGACAUACAAGAUCAACAACAGCUUAAAACUAUCCCAAGUAGAUUUCCCGCAGAUUCGCAAUACAUCUCAUUGAAAGGAAAUCGAAUUUCAACCAUCCCUACAAGCGCGUUUUCAAAUCUACGAGAUCUACGCUACUUGGAUUUAGCGUCAAAUGAACUGGAAGGUUUACCACCAAAUAUAUUUCAAGGUUUAACCACCUUGGAGUCAUUGAACUUAUCUAGAAACAGACUGGGACAGUUACCUUCAGGCCUGUUACAUGGACUGGAUAACUUGCGAGAUUUAUAUCUUGAUGGUAAUGUUCUAGAAAAUCUACCUAAAGAUUUUUUUGAAGGAUUAACAUCACUACGAAGAUUAUAUUUGGAUAGUAAUAAUUUUUACACGUUGUCAGACAAGUUGUUUGGUUUGCGUGGAAUGGCGAUGAAUGAAAAAUCUCCUGCAAUAAUCAGUAAUCUCACGUCUCUGGUUGAACUCUUACUAAAUCACAACGGCAUUGGUCAAGUACAACAUGAUUCCUUCAACAGAAUGUCUGACCUUAGACGCUUGAAACUGAACGACAACAAUAUCACAACGCUACCUAGGGGAAUAUUUCGCGAUCUUAGAUCGUUGCGUUUAUUGUCGCUUUACAAAAAUCCAUUUCAGUGUACAUGCUCUUUAAAAUGGUUAAAAGAUUGGAUCGUUCAAAAUCAAAGAGAUGUUACAGUAUUUUAUCAACAUUUAAUACGAUGCGAGGGUCCUGCGAGGCUCCGUGGAAAAGGUUUACUGGAUGUUAAAGACAGUGAAUUCGGCUGUGAAGACGAAUGGAGUGAGUGGUCUAAUUGGGACAGCUGUUCAAAAGCUUGUAAUCAUGGAAGACAAAAUAGGAGUCGCCAAUGUAAAUCAGGCGUGUGUAAGGGUAGUGAUAUCGAAAGUAGGUGGUGUAACACACACAAGUGUGAGCUAGAGUGGAGCCCCUGGAGUGUAUGGACUCCAUGCAGUGUGACAUGUUCAGUUGGAUACCAAACACGAAGUCACUACACACAGUGUACUCAAUCACCAUGCAAACGAGUGCUCGAAUCUGAAGUAAGAGUAUGCCCUAGGAGACCUUGCCCUUCUUAUACUGAGUGGUCAUCAUGGUCUAUGUGUAACCCUCUGUGUGGACAAGGAAAACAAGUCCGCCAACGGGAAUGUGCCACCUCGCAUGUUGGGGUGGCAUGCCCUGCACCUAAAGUUGAAACCCAAGAUUGUAAAAUAAGAGAUUGUGCUGAAUGGACAAAAUGGGGCAUGUGGUCAGCGUGUAGUAAGAAUUGUUCAAAAGGAGAACGAACAAGAAAACGAGAUUGUGUAAUAGUACAUGGUUCAAAACAACAAUACUGUCCUGGAAAUGAUACUGACAAACAAGAAUGUCACAUCAAGGCAUGUCCUGUUGACGGCAGCUGGUCGUCAUGGUAUCCAUGGACAAGUUGUAGCAAAACAUGUGGAAUAGGAUUCAAUACAAGACACAGGCGAUGUUCUAAUCCAUAUCCACAACACGGCGGAGCGAAAUGCAACGGUUCAUCUUUUGAAGUUACACAAUGUGUCAGAGGGUUAUGCAAUGAUACGUCAGUAUUUACACCAUGGUCGGAAUGGAGCCCAUGUUCCAUACAAUGUGGGAGAGGGUUUAAAUCACGACGUAGGUCAUGCAAAAAACAAGAUCCUAAAACAAGUGCAUACAUGUGUUUGGGUAAGACUGAGGAAUAUCAAAACUGUGAGGGGAAAAUGUGUGCUGGUGUUUGGGAAGAGUGGACACUAUGGACCAAGUGUAAGGGAGGUUGCAACCAGGGGCAAACAUUUCGAUGGAGAUUUUGUGUUGGUGAUCAUGGUAGCGGGGGUUAUGUAUGUGCAAUGAAUAAGACUGUUGAUGUUCAAGGAAAGAAUUGUAAACCAUCAACAUGUAGUGAUGAACCACUGUGGUCGGGUUGGAGUGCCUGGUCUGCAUGUUCACGCAGUUGUGCUGGAGGUACGAAACGUCGUUGGCGGUAUUGUGUAACUAAAAUAAUUGGGAAACCUUGCCCUGGUAACCAAGAAAGUAAAUCACCAUGUAAUAUUGAGCCAUGUCCCAUACAUGGUGGAUGGAGCAUUUGGAGUGAGUGGGGCAAGUGUAGUGAGGUAUGUGAUGGAGGGAUAAAACAACGAAAUCGUACAUGUACUGAGCCGGUACCUCAGUACAAUGGUCAACAAUGUAUUGGAGACAGUAAAGACAAAACAAUAUGUAAUACACAUAGAUGCAGAGAUGGUAUCCAAGGUGAUAAACUGCUAUCAACAAUGAAAACACCUGAGGUUACAACAUCUGAGGUUAAAGAACCUGGAGUGAUACGAUUAGGUGAAAAAAUAAAUUGCCCCACACCAGAGAUGCCAAGGAAUGGUAAAUACACUAUGACAGAACAGAAAGAUCAACAUAAAUUUCUCGAGUAUAAAUGUGACGACUAUUAUCGCAAUCGUGGACAUAGUAACCUGCGCUACUGUUCAGAUGAUGGUAGAUGGUCUGGACAUGAUGCGGACUGUGUGCCAGAUUGCGGGGAAUUCAAGGCAAACCGAAAAGGAGCCAAUGAGAUCAAGAGUAUCAGAAAUAUGAUUGAUUUCUGGCCUUGGCAAGUUGCAAUAGAAGUACCAAUGAAAGGGAUUCAUUGCGGAGGUGCGCUAAUUGGAGAUCAGUGGGUUCUUACUGCUGCACAUUGUGUUCUUCCACGGGAGUCAUCGAAAUAUUAUGAAGAAAUUAAAGUCAUUUUAGGCACACAUAAUUUGACAGAUAAAAGUUCAAGAGAAGUACAGAUAAUACUUGUGAAUAAAACAGAACAUCACAAAGAUUUUGCAUGGAACCUCAAACACAGUGUCAAAUACGCAUCGGACAUCGCCAUUUUGAAAUUAGAAAGAAAAGUUCACAUAACAAAGUAUGUACAUCCAGUUUGUCUGCCAAAAAGAAGAAGAAAACAUUUAAUGCAUGCUGGGCAGAUGGGCGUGUUUGCUGGCUGGGGCGGGACACAAGAGCCUCACUUACUGCGACAAAUUCCACUGCCUGUAGUCAACCGUCAAGAGUGUCAAAGGUCUUACAAAAGAUACAAAUAUAGAGUCAAUGAAAAAAUGAUGUGUGCUGGCUACAAGAAGACAGCAGAUGGCAUAUGUAAGAAAGACAGUGGAGGUGGCUUUUUCUUUUUUGACAAUUCAAAACGAAGGAAACGUUGGGUAUUGGGUGGUAUUGCAAGCUGGCGAUUUCCUACAUGUAACGAAGAAGGCAAAUAUAGUGUCUUUACUGAUGUUACUAAACAUAUGAACUGGAUAAAAAAGAAGAUGGGUGAUUGGUAAUUAACUAUACAUUCAUAUAAUUAUAAAAAGUAUAUUAAUAUAUGACAUCGAAGAGGCCUGGUAUAUUACAAUCAAAAUUGGUUUUACAGUUUGCUACAUUACAUGUGAGAUCCAGGGGUGGAUCUAGCCUCAUUUGCAAGGAAGCGGUGCAGGUUUUUCCAUGGGGUUGUGCAUCAGGGAGCAUUACUGCCCGUUCUGUUACGCUAUAUUAUAUUUUAUAAAGUUUAUAUCGUGUUUGCAUGAACAGCUGCUGUUGCACAGUACAGUAAAGUAACUUUGCUUGUUGAAAGUAUGUUUUAUUUGAAAAUACUGCUAUAUAGCAAUCUCAACAUGACAGUACAUGUUUAACCAUGCUAUUUAACUAAAGCAUUUUGAGUAUUUUCUUGUGAGUUCACAAAUCAAUUGAAUCGUUUCAAGAAAUUGACAUGUACUCACAGCAUAAAUUUCACUAAACAAUAUUCAAAAAGCAGAAAAUGUAUUUGUCAAGCAGAUUUUUUAGGGUGGUGCUGGACACCACCCCCCUGCACCCCCAUGGUAGAUCCACCCCUGGUGAGAUCAAGUCAGUUUGAUCAUAAAUGUUUACUUCAAUUUAAAGGGAAAAAAUCUCACAGUCUUAUACUGUUAAGUACUGUAGUUACAGUAACAGUAACAGGGCUGCAAAAAAUAUUUUAUUUUCUGGGACCACAAGGCCAACAAAAAAAUUCUCUGUAAUCAAGGGACAGCAAAUUGUAUGGUUUUUAAAAUUUUAUCACAACUAAGGAAAAUUCAGUCCAUUCUAGACAAAUUCUAAACAUCAUUUCGGUCUUGAAAAUAGACCUUAUUCCAACGUGGCUACCAAAUAAAUAUUCUUUUAUGUUGUAAACAAGUCCUUAUGUAUUUUUCUUCAAUGUGUAUUUUUGUCUACAUGCAUGAUCUGCAGUAAAGUAAGUCACUAAAAUUAGUGAAAUACACUAACUUUCUUUCCUUUAAGACGUUUUAAAUUCUAUGGUUUUACCUUCCAUUUUUUUCUGCCAACCUCAAAAAUUUUCUUGGACCAAUGGUCCUGUGGUCCACUAUACUUUGCAGCCCUGUGCAGUAUGGCACAGGUUUGGGUAAAUACUCUAAGCAUCGAGUUGUAAAUAAUUUUGUACAAAAAUUAUCCUAACGCAAAAUUGGUUUUACAGUUUGCUACAUAAUAUGUAAGAUAAAGUCUGUUUAUUCAUCUCACAGUCUAUAUACUGUUGAAGUCACAGUUUUGCCAAACUUUUAAACUUGGCAAAAAUUUUCCAGAAAUCCUAUCUGGAUAUUCGAUAAAUAUUCUAUUUUAUGAAGUUAUAUGGCAAACCAUUGGCAAAGCUUGCCAUGGCAACUGGUCAUGCUAUGCCGAUAAACCUGCAUGCAUCUAAAUAGGUAAAGACAAUUAAUACAUAAUUUUUAAGGGUUUGAAUGAUGCAAAUCAUUAAAUAUUUGCAUAGCAUGACCUGUUGCCAUGGCUAGCUUUGCGACUGAAACAAACCAACAUGUGCAAAUUACCCAAAACAGCAGACAAUACUUUCUACGGUGUUAAAAAUAUAUAAAUUAAGUAUCUCAGAGAUAUAGAUAUGUAAAAUAUUUAUUACAAAAUUACAUUAUUUUAUAAAUAUUAAUUUAACUAAAGGCUUUAAAUGCUACAUUGUGGAUGUGGACUAACUGUGACUAAGGCUUUAUUUUGCUAAUUGAUGCAUCUUUUACCAUAGAUAUUUAUGCCCCCCCCCCCCUAUGGGCUCAGUUCCUUCAGGGGAGGGGGUUUGAGAGCAAUUUAGGGUUGGGCAAAGCUGACGUGGCCAAGCUCAAAGCAGCAAUCUCAUUGACCAAUCACUAGCUUCCAGAUCAAAUGCCUUUGCUUGUAACAUUGAAAUUUUGUUAUAACAUGAAAGCAAUGGAACUCAUAUAAAUCAAAAUGAGGAUAUUGCAUUAAUUACAAAAUGAAGAUAUGUCAAAAUUUGGAUUAAAAAAAUUUGGGCAAAAUGAGGAUAUGUGAAAAUUUUUCAGGGAAACAUUUUUAUAUUUUAUGGCAGUUAGGGCCAUUCUAUUUAAUAUCCACACCGCCCUACGGAUGAGGUCAGUAAAAUUUUAACCCCUAAGAAAAAAAAAAUCAAAGUGCCGACACAAAACACCCCUCAGAAAUUUAUAAAUUUUCCCCUUACCCCUCAGAAAAAUCGCAGAGAUCAAAGGAUGCCGACAUGCUUAACCCCUCAGAAACGACUUUGAGUCACCCUUCAGAAAAACUCAUCCGUAGGGGGGGGGGGGUGGACAUUAAAUGGAAUGGCCCUUAGCCCCUCCAAAAUAUAAACUGUUCUGCCGUCAUUGUUCCCCAGUGCAUACUAUUUAUAGGAGCCAAAAAAGUCGAUGGUAGUUAGCAUUAUUCUUAUUAGAGAUUAGCUGAUUAAUUGGCAAAAUAAUUGGCUCUUAUCAUGUUAUGACAUCUGCCUUGGUUUACAUAGAUAAAAAUUUUAUCUCUGAUAUAUCAAAAAGAUAUCAACCAAAUAUAUAUAUCCAUC